rnacentral:rRNA from 1 species
UACAGAGGUCCCAAGCGUUGUUCGGAUUCACUGGGCGUAAAGGGUGCGUAGGCGGUCGGGUAAGUCUGAUGUGAAAUCUCACAGCUUAACUGUGAAACUGCAUUGGAUACUAUUCGGCUUGAGAGUUGGAGGGGGGGACUGGAAUUCUUGGUGUAGCAGUGAAAUGCGUAGAUAUCAAGAGGAACACCAGUGGCGAAGGCGAGUCCCUGGACAACUUCUGACGCUGAGGCACGAAAGCUAGGGGGAGCAAACAGG